rnacentral:rRNA from 1 species
UUUGUCCACUAAUUAUGGACCUGUAUGAAAGGCCACAUGAGAAUCCGACUGUCUCUUGUAACUAAUUUAUAAAACUGAUCUUCCAGUUCAAAAGCUAGAAUAUACCUAUAAGACGAGAAGACCCUGUGAAGCUUAAAAAACCCCAUUAAACCAACUAAUGGGUAUUUUUAGUUGGGGCAACUUUGGAAAAGAAACUAACUUCCAAAAAUAAGACAAAGCACUUACCAAGACUAACUAGUCAAUAAAGACCCAGUAUAACUGAUAAAUGAACCAAGUUACUCCAGGGAUAACAGCGCAAUCUUCUUCAAGAGCCCAUAUCAAAAAGAAGGUUUACGACCUCGAUGUUGGAUCAGGACACCCAAAUGGCGCAGUCGCUAUUAAAGGUUCGUUUGUUCAACGAUUAACAGU